rnacentral:rRNA from 1 species
GACGAACGCUGGCGGCGUGCCUAAUACAUGCAAGUAGAACGCACAGUUUAUACCGUAGCUUGCUACACCAUAGACUGUGAGUUGCGAACGGGUGAGUAACGCGUAGGUAACCUGCCUGGUAGCGGGGGAUAACUAUUGGAAACGAUAGCUAAUAGCGCAUAAUAUUAAUUAUUGCAUGACAAUUAAUUGAACGGUGCAAUUGAACCACUACCAGAUAGACCUGCGUUGUAUUAGCUAGUAGGUGAGGUAACGGCUCACCUAGGCGACGAUACAUAGCCGACCUGAGAGGGUGAGCGGCCACACUGGGACGGAGACACGGCCCAGACGCCUACGGGAGGCAGCAGGAGGGAAACUUCGGCAAGGGGUGGAAGUCUGACCGAGCAACGCCGCGGGAGUGAAGAAGGUUUUCGGAUCGUAAAGGUCUGUUGUAAGAGAAGAACGGGUGUGAGAGUGGAAAGUUCACACUGUGACGGUAUCUUACCAGAAAGGGACGGCUAACUACGUG